rnacentral:rRNA from 1 species
UACGUAGGGGGCUAGCGUUGUCCGGAAUCAUUGGGCGUAAAGAGCGUGUAGGCGGCCCGGUAAGUCCGCUGUGAAAGUCGGGGGCUCAACCCUCGAAUGCCGGUGGAUACUGUCGGGCUAGAGUGCGGAAGAGGCGAGUGGAAUUCCUGGUGUAGCGGUGAAAUGCGUAGAUAUCUGGAGGAACACCGGUGGCGAAGGCGGCAUCCUGGACCAACAUUGACGCUGAGGAGCGAAAGCCAGGGGAGCAAACGGG